rnacentral:lncRNA from 1 species
CAGAUGGGGUUUGCAGGAGCAAUGGCUGUAGGGACACUAAGAUUUCACCCUCCAGAAGACAGCAUCUUCCUGUGUCAUGGCUAGAUCACCAGCUACCCACAGACAGCCUGAACUCCAAUUGUCUUCCUGCAUAUGUGCCUUUAAAAGAACUUUUCACAUGUAGAGGAGCCUUUAGAAUGAAGCCUUGAGUAUGAGGGGCAGACUCCCCUCAUCCAACCACCACCUGACUCUGUGUGAACCUGGAACUGUUAGAAUGUCUGUGCUGUGAUAAAAGGUCAUCUCCCUUCAAUGUUGUGAUACAGACCUCAAACCUACAAACAUGAGGAAUUUCUACCUCUAGGUUAACUGGUUACCCACUGUACAAGACAAGUUACACACAGUCCAGGAGGCGGAGUUUCUGAGAUAUCUAGAAACAGCUUAGAGGCAAAAUGACAAAACAAAGCAGCAACAACAAAUAAAACCAA